rnacentral:rRNA from 1 species
UACGUAGGGUGCGAGCGUUUAUCGGAAUUACUGGGCGUAAAGCGUGCGCAGGCGGUUGGCCGUGUCCGAUGUGAAAGCCCCGGGCUUAACCUGGGAAUGGCAUUGGAAACUGGCUGGCUGGAGUGUGGCAGAGGGGGGUGGAAUUCCACGUGUAGCAGUGAAAUGCGUAGAGAUGUGGAGGAACACCGAUGGCGAAGGCAGCCCCCUGGGCCAACACUGACGCUCAGGCACGAAAGCGUGGGGAGCAAACAGG